UUUCUUCUCCUCCAGGGCACUUUAAAGGAGAUUGCACCCAGUGAAAUGAUCCUUUUCAGCAUGAUCCGGUGCAGCCGCGCUUCCCUGCCUGAACACAUCCUGAGUGAAGGACACAUUUGGAUUUUCAACAGCUAUCAGUGUCAAGUGGCAAUGCCAUGGAUUAAUUUUAUCCCCAGUCUGUUGUCGUCCCAGGUGAACACAAUUCAAAGAGUGUGUUCGCCUCUGUGUGUCAAAUACUACUUGCUUGAUGCAAUAGGAUAGAGGCCCUUGUCUAAAAGAAAUGCAGCACCACAAUCUCAGAAAAGCACAUAUCUGAAAGUACGGGAUUGCGAUCUCUUCCUGUUCAACAAAUUUGUGUACAUUUUUAGCUCCUCAAAAGGUGACUCACUGGGGGAGGGGGUUAAAAAUAUUCAGCCUCUAAAGAAAGGAAGUCCUACGAAAGACGGAAGAACUAAAGAAGGCUGCACAAACUGCUGCCCCACAGAUUCACCAUCUUGCUCAUUUCCCCUUCGGUUUCUUCAACAGGAAAGUCUUUGAUCUGUGGGAGAGGAGACUUCUGUGCAACCAGGCAAUGGAUGACUUAGAUGCUUUGUUGGCAGAACUGGAGCAAACUUCAGAGAGUUUGAAUGUGAGUGACCCAGAACCUUCAAAGCCUUGCUUUCUUCUUGACCGUGACAAUAAGGUGAAAGCAGGAACAACAGCAGGAGAUAAAAAUGCCACCCAGCACAAUAAACGAGCUACUCCAGAAGCAAAGAAGGCACAACCUGCACAUGGUAUUCAACAUCAGGAAGCAGGUGGUGACAAUAUUUACAGGUAAAUGCAACAGCAAGAAUGCAAAACAGUUUUCAAGUUUCGUGGACUCUUGUGCUUUGUAUUUUCUGGGGGGAGCCCUCUGCGUGUAACUAUCAAAACUGUGUGGCUUCUAAACUGUUGUUCUCUGAAAAUGUAUUUGGAAUUACAUUAAAGGCUGCAGUAGAUGGUUGAUAAAGCACCAUUGAGUCUAGAUGCUGUAUCUGGGCCAAAGGGACUUACUUUGAUGUAAAUUGAUAUAUGAUUCCAGUGUAAUUCAUAUACAAGAUGAAGUUAUCUCCAUUCAGAUAAAUUGUCAUUCAUUCUUAACAUUCACAGAAGAGUUAGAAUUCCCACAGUAGAAUUCCCAGAGAAGUUUUUUUAGGACAAAGAGAGAAAAAUUCAAUUAAAAAAAAUAUGCUACUUCCAGUCUGAAUGGGAACCAAAUAUCUCAACCUGCAGUUCUUCCCUGAGUCCCAACUGCUACUGUUCUGUUGGUUGCUUUUUUGAUUACAGUUAAUACACUGUUUACAAGUUAAAGAACCACUUUGGAACUGUAAACUGAUAUACUUUCUGACUGUCUUUUGCCUACAUUCUAAAGGAUAUCAGAAUUGCUCAGAGCACCAGAAACAGCGUAGGUUUGUGAUUACCAUCCAUGACUAAAAUCUUAUUCCAGUAUUUCAAGGAAAUAACAGCUUAAUCCCUGAUUAGAUCAGGGAUGGGCAUCUAUAGCCAUCUAGAUAUUAUAGGACUGUACCCCUAUCAUCCCUCACCUUUGGGGUUGCUGACCAGGGUUUAUGGGGUUGCAGCAAUCCAAGAAAACCUCACCCCUGCUUUCAGUCAAGAGAUGCAGAUGAGAAAGUGGAGGACCAUCAGUGGCUGGCGGGUGGGGGAAUGGAGUAUAACUCCAAGAAUUCCUCGGACAGUAUGAUUAUGGCAGUGCUGGCUAGGUAAUCCUAGCAGAUAUAGUAAAAAAAACCAAACAUCUAUCACCCCUGCUUUCAGUCAAGAGAUGCAGAUGAGAAAGU
rnacentral:lncRNA from 1 species